GGGCUCAUGACUGCAUUAUUGCACCACAUGUGUUUUUCUUUGAAACAAACUUGCUUUGGCGGUGGGCCCAGCCUGCCGCCAGAGGUCUAAACUUACAACCAAUUUUUUAUCAACUUGUCACACCAGAUUAUUACUAAUAGUCAAAACUUUCAACAACGGAUCUCUUGGUUCUCGCAUCGAUGAAGAACGCAGCGAAAUGCGAUACGUAAUAUGAAUUGCAGAUAUUCGUGAAUCAUCGAAUCUUUGAACGCACAUUGCGCCCUCUGGUAUUCCGGAGGGCAUGCCUGUUUGAGCGUCGUUUCUCCCUCAAACCGCUGGGUUUGGUGUUGAGCAAUACGACUUGGGUUUGCUUGAAAGACGGUAGUGGUAAGGCGGGAUCGCUUUGACAAUGGCUUAGGUCUAACCAAAAACAUUGUUUGCGGCGGUAACGUCCACCACGUAUAUCUUCAAACUUUGACCUCAAAUCAGGUAGGACUACCCGCUGAACUUAAGCAUAUCAAAGUGGGGAGGAA
rnacentral:rRNA from 1 species